UCUUAUGUUUAUUUUUUUUAUGUUAUCAUAUUAAAAUUAUUUUUUGUUGGAUUUUCGAACAUUAUGUUUUGCUCGUUGAGAUUGGUUAAUCUAUUUUUUUUAUCCGUUAAGCAUGGUUUGCUAUGUGAUUAGAGAUUUUUAAAGUUGGACUAGCCCAAACGACUAGUCCAUGGGCUUAUAAAAUGGGUAUGUGAUGGAGAGAUUUCCAC
rnacentral:lncRNA from 1 species